GUGGGGAAUCUUGCACAAUGGGCGCAAGCCUGAUGCAGCAACGCCGCGUGCGGGAAGAAGGCCCUAGGGUUGUAAACCGCUUUCAGUAGGGAAGAAAAUGACGGUACCUACAGAAGAAGGUGCGGCCAACUACGUGCCAGCAGCCGCGGUAACACGUAGGCACCAAGCGUUAUCCGGAUUUAUUGGGCGUAAAGAGCUCGUAGGCGGUUCAGUCAGUCGGGUGUGAAAACUUGAGGCUUAACCUCAAGAGGUCACUCGAUACUACUGUGACUAGAGUGCGGUAGGGGAGCGGGGAAUUCCUGGUGUAGCGGUGAAAUGCGCAGAUAUCAGGAGGAACACCAGUGGCGAAGGCGCCGCUCUGGGCCGUAACUGACGCUGAGGAGCGAAAGCAUGGGUAGCAAACAGGAUUAGAAACCCCAGUAGUCC
rnacentral:rRNA from 1 species